UCCACGCUGUAAACGAUGGAUACUAGGUGUUGGCCCAUUUGGGGUCGGCGCCGCAGCUAACGCAUUAAGUAUCCCGCCUGGGGAGUACGACCGCAAGGUUGAAACUCAAAGGAAUUGACGGGGGCCCGCACAAGCGGUGGAGCAUGUGGUUUAAUUCGAUGCAACGCGAAGAACCUUACCUGGGCUUGAACCGCAGAUGAUAUCCCCUGAAAAGGGGCUUUCCUUCGGGACAUCUGUAGAGGUGCUGCAUGGCUGUCGUCAGCUCGUGCCGUGAGGUGUUGGGUUAAGUCCCG
rnacentral:rRNA from 1 species